AACGCGAAGAACCUUACCAAGGCUUGACAUGUUCUCGAUCGCCGUAGAGAUACGGUUUCCCCUUUGGGGCGGGUUCACAGGUGGUGCAUGGUUGUCGUCAGCUCGUGUCGUGAGAUGUUGGGUUAAGUCCCGCAACGAGCGCAACCCUCGUUCCAUGUUGCCAGCACGUAAUGGUGGGGACUCAUGGGAGACUGCCGGGGUCAACUCGGAGGAAGGUGAGGACGACGUCAAAUCAUCAUGCCCCUUAUGUCUUGGGCUUCACGCAUGCUACAAUGGCCGGUACAAUGGGUUGCGAUACUGUGAGGUGGAGCUAAUCCCAAAAAGCCGGUCUCAGUUCGGAUUGGGGUCUGCAACUCGAUCCCAUGAAGUCGGAGUCGCUAGUAAUCGCAGAUCAGCA
rnacentral:rRNA from 1 species